rnacentral:rRNA from 1 species
UAGGGAAUAUUGGUCAAUGGAUGGAAGUCUGAACCAGCCAUGCCGCGUGCAGGAAGAAGGCCUUCUGGGUUGUAAACUGCUUUUGCCAGGGGAUAAAAAUUCCAUGCGUGGAAAAUUGAAGGUACCUGGUGAAUAAGCCACGGCUAACUACGUGCCAGCAGCCGCGGUAAUACGUAGGUGGCAAGCGUUGUCCGGAUUUAUUGGGUUUAAAGGGUGCGUAGGCGGCUUUGUAAGUCAGUGGUGAAAUAUGGCAGCUUAACUGUCAGGGUGCCAUUGAUACUGCGAGGCUUGAGUACAGAUGAGGUAGGCGGAAUUGACGGUGUAGCGGUGAAAUGCUUAGAUAUCGUCAAGAACACCUAUAGCGAAGGCAGCUUACUAGGCUGUAACUGACGCUGAGGCACGAAAGUGUGGGGAUCAAACAGGAUUAGAUACCCAAGUAGUCCCUGAGCGGGCUGGCAAGGCG